rnacentral:rRNA from 1 species
GGGAGUGAAAUAGAACCUGAAACCCUGCACUUACAAGCUGUGGAAGCACAUUUCUUGUGUGACCGCGUACUUUUUGUAGAACGGGCCAACGAGUGACGUUAAGUAGCAAGGUUAAGCACUUAAGGUGUGGAGCCGUAGCGAAAGCGAGUUUUAACUUAGCGUUCAGUUACUUGACGUAGACCCGAAACCGGGCGACCUACCCAUGAGCAGGAUGAAGCGAAAGUAAAAUGUCGGGGAGGUCCGAACCCACGAGCGUUGAGAAGGUCGUGGAUGACUUGUCGGUAGCGGUGAAAUUCCAAUCGAGCGAGGAGAUAGCUGGUUCUCCCCGAAAUAGCUUUAGGGCUAGCCUCAAGGUGAGAGAUACGUAGGUAGAGCACUGAAUGUCCUAGGGGGUAUUGCACCUACCGAAGACUAUCAAACUCCGAAUGCCGUCAUCUUAUACUUGGGAGUCAGACUGUGGGUGAUAAGAUUCAUAGUCGAAAGGGCAACAGCCCAGAUCGUCAGCUAAGGUCCCUAAAUGUAAGUUAAGUGGUAAAGGAUGUGGGAUUGCACAGACAACCAGGAUGUUGGCUUAGAAGCAGCCACUCAUUCAAAGAGUGCGUAAUAGCUCACUGGUCGAGUGAUCCUGCGCCGAAGAUUUCCGGGGCUAAAACUUACUACCGAAGCUACGGCAUCAGUAAUGAUGGGUAGGGGAGCUUCCCAUACGGGUUGAAGCAUGACCGUAAGGACAUGUGGACAGUAUGGGAGUGAGAAUGUUGGCAUGAGUAGCGAGAUGUGGGUGAGAAUCCCACAGGCCGUAAACCCAAGGU